UUAGUAAAGGGCUAUAUAAGUACGUAAGUACGGCGCCGAUAGUAAGACAUUCUACAGUAUUUUCAUCGGCGAUUUCUCCGGAACCUGACUCUUCAAUAUCAAGAUGAAGACGACCCUGGCGUUUCUUCUUGUUGUGCUGGUCAUCUCGUGCCAGCUGAUGACUGCUGAAAGCUACAUAAUGCUUCCCGCUAAUCCUGGCCGAAGCUUGGAACGUGGUGUCAAGGCGAACUUGGCCCGUCAGGCUGAGCUGCGUGAGCUGGCCAGGGAGGUGGAGAUGACCAGUGAGCUGGAGAUGACCAGGGAGGUGGAGAAACGGGAUGUGGACACCCGUCUGAGUGACAGGAUGACGGAGGAAGCUGAAUGAUUAAAUGGACAGUCGACCACGUGACCAUCGCGUGUCUGCCACGUGAUCAUUGACGGCUAUCUAUCUUCUACGCGCGGACGACAAUUUUAGCAAAAUUCGCCAAUCACAAAUAGUACUUGUAGUUUGAUUGUUUCCUGGUCGUAAUUACAAGCGAGAGCGAGGAUGGAGGAUAGGAUUUAACAUUUGAAGAGCAUACAUGAUUCGUACCAUGGAUUGUAAAACGCACAACUCGUAGAUAAUCCUAUGUUUCUUGAAGGACAGUAUAUAGAAGCUUAGUCCAUUAAUUGCUGAAUAACUGAAGGGAUUCUCCAAUGGGUGCUGAACACAUUAUCCAUAUAACUGAAGGGACCUGUCCUUGGUGGUGAACACAACAUCCACACAGCUAAAGGGGCCUGUCCUUGGUGCCGAACACAACAUCCGCACAGCUAAAGGGGCCUGUCCUUGGUGCCGAACACAAAAUCCGCACAGCUAAAGGGGCAUGUCCUUGGUGCUGAACACAACAUCCGCACAGCUAAAGGGGCCUGUCCUUGGUGCCGAACACAACAUCCGCACAGCUAAAGGGGCCUGUCCUUGGUGCCGAACACAACAUCCGCACAGCUAAAGGGGCCUGUCCUUGGUGCCGAACACAACAUCCGCACAGCUAAAGGGACCUGUCCUUGGUGCUGAAUGCAUCAUCCGUGCGGCUAAAAUUCGCCAUAUAUUAGCAUGUUGCAAUGUGACAAAUGGAAAAGAAUUUGCUCUUUACAAGACCUCUUCCCAACAUCUUAAGAAUGACGAGAAAAAACUUAAACAUACACUUAUCAUAUAUGCCAACAAAGUUUGUUUCUUCACAUAACGUUACAUUUUAUUAUCUGCAAGUUUUGCUACCUAGAUUCCUAGAAGGAGAA